AGGGAGAGGCCGGCAGAGGCCCGGCUCCGGUGGCUCCAGCUUUCCUCCCACUCUGGCUCCCCAGGGGCUGCUCUGGAAUUCUCUCGGUGCCCGCCGUUGCCAUGCACUCGGCUGGAACUCCCAGAGCCGAGUCCCCCAUGAGCAGGCAGGAGAAGGACGCAGAGCUGGAUCGGAGGAUAGUUGCCCUGCGCAAGAAGAACCAGGCCUUGCUCCGCAGGUACCAGGCCUAUCAGCAUCUAUGUCUCUGUGCACCUGGGGGGCCAUGGCGUGUGCUGACCCCCAGCCCUCCCACAGGAGAUCCAGGAGGACCGUCGGCAGGCAGAGCA
rnacentral:lncRNA from 1 species